AGAAAGGUUAGAAAAUUUAGAUAAUUUUUAUUAAAAGUAUAUGUGCUUUUUCCAGAAUUGUGAAUUAUAUAGAUUGCAGACUGUGUUCUGUUUUACCUUCACUUAUUAUUUUUGAGGAAUCUAUUAAAUUAUUUUCUUUCAGUGAAAACAAAAGCUUCCAAUGAACACACAAUGUAUUUAUUUAUUUAUUUUUAUUUCCAGACCUCCUGCUUGGUGCUGUGCUCCUGCUUCAAUUGUAGCAAUUUGCAUCCUGCCUCAAAGACUGAAAUGCAUUCCUAAACAUUUUUGUUGCUCUGCAGGUGGGCAUAUUGAAAACUGAUGUAGCCCAGCAUGUGAUAACCUUUUCACUUCAACAAAGUUUGGACUUAAAUUAAUGAAAAAUGAAGUCUAUUCUCUCCAUACCCAGAGGCACAGAGAGACUGGAGCAUCCAUCUGUCCCUGCAUCUCUCUCCUGCUUUGCUUGAUACAAAGUAAACAGCAACUUCACAAAUGAAGCACAGUGCAGUGAAAUGCAUGCUAGCUCAGCCGGAUAUAAAAGUCAGCAUGACUAAGAGCAUCAAAUAUUAGCAUAAAGUAAAAGUUGUUCAGAAAAAAGUUGUUCAGAGAAGCAAGCUCCUCUGAUGCUUCAGUGACAUGGAAGAGGUUUCUGGUGCCAGAACUGGUUACAUCUUCAAAACAUGAGGAUGAUGGAUCUUCACAGAUCAACUACUCAACAGAAGCCCCUAAGCAGACAUGAUGCUUCAACGCAUAAGCAAACACUGUGCCGAGACGCAAGCCAACCACAGCAACUGUACCCAACGUUAACGGGAGAGCUUCAGGCUCGGUUUGAUCCCGCGCGAGUUGCCAAUAACCUUUUCCUUUACGUCGCCUCCGUCUCCAGCCCGUGACGGCGGUAGCUAGGUAAGUUUCCUUUGCCGCCGCAGCGGCGGGAUACAACCGGCAGAGUUCCCGCGGUACUGCUGCUGCCGCCGCGCUCCUGCGGCUCGAGCCCGGUCGCACCCGCAGCUUUCAAACCUGGGGCGCCUUCCCGCCUCUCUAACGGCUGCGUGUUCACCGCGCGCCGCCCCGCAACAAGCGCGCCGUUGAUUGGCCCGGCCGUCCUUCCUGCUGGAGGCUGGAGCCGCGGGGCGCGCUGGGAGUCUCCGUGAGGGCCGGGCCGUGAGGCGGGGGCGGUCCCGGUGCUCUUCGCCUAUCAUUGACGAGAGCCUGGCGAGGCGGGGGCUGCCGAAGUAGCGGCUGGUUAUCCCAUAGGUGGGAGCUACUCAUCUGUUAUCUAAAGAGAGACAGACCGAGAACCGCUCAGUCCUUUUUGGUAGCAGCAGAAACAGAG